AUCUCCAUCUUACGAGGCAGUUUUGGAUGUCAUGGAUCUCUCUAAUACUGCCUGGUAAUGAUGAUGAU
rnacentral:pre_miRNA from 1 species